UGUGGAAGUUCGUACGGAGUUUGGUUCUUGCAGAAGGUUGAAAGGAGGCCGCUUGUCGUAGAAGCUCGGUCGAAGAUCAAUUAUUGUGGAAGCUCGGAGUAGUGACCUGGCUGACGGAGUCUGCCCCGUUGUAGAAGCUCAUCUGGGAUCCAUCCAUUGUAGGAGCUCGGCUGGGAUCCGGCUAUGAAGAAGCUCGGCUGAAGUCCGCCUGUAAUAGAAGUUCGGAAGGAAUUCGUUUACAGUAGAGGCUCGGAUAGAAUUUGCUUACAGUAG
rnacentral:lncRNA from 1 species